GCUGUGGCUCAGUGACAGAGCAUCUGCUUUGCAUGCAGAAGGUCCCAGGUUCAAUCCCCACCAUAUCCA